GGAGGCUCCUCCGUGCCCGGCCCCCACUGUGCGUGCGGGGAGCGCGCCUGACCCAGCCAUUGUUUCCUAUCUCCGCACCGGCGUCAGUGGAAAAUCUCCCCACCUGCCGCGCCUGGGUCGGGCUAUUUAUCCGGCAGCGCUGCCGUCACGGAGAGCGGCGCUGCUGACGGGGGAGCUGACGCUCUUGUCCGCUACCGCUGGGCUUGUGGCGGUGACAGUGGGGCUCUGGGUGGCGCUGGGAACGGGGCGCGGAGGAGCGAGCGCCCCGCCGCAGCCCCCGCUUUCGCCUCCUCCUGGCCCCGGCUGCGACAAGUGGGGGGCGGCCGCUGCUGCUAGCGCCGCCCCCGGGACGCGCCUGGCAGUGUCCUGCCUCCCCUCCUGGCUCCUCUGGUGGCGCCCGGGCUGAGCCUGGGGAGCGCGGCUGGGGCACGGCGCGGAUGGGAGGGACGCGCGGCGGACAGCGCAGAUUGGCCUACUGAAGUAGUCUAAGGUUAUUCUGCUGAACAUAAGUGAGAUUGAACUACAGUAAACCGGUUAUAAUUUCAGUGGGACUAGAUAUCUGAGGUAAAGCAAGCAGUUUGGGCCUCAUGUUCAUAUGUCAGACUUGAUUGCAGCAGAAAACUCAAUUUGAAGACACACAGCAAUUCUCAGAAGUCGCAUUCUCUCAAGAAUUCAAUAUAUGGGACAAAUUUUUAUUAUGAAACUACUGCCAAAGUCAAGCUACCUCUCUUUGCUCCUAACUCCAAGUGUGGUACAUCACUACACUGUUUAAAGUGAUUGUUAUGUUGCCUUUUAAAACAGAUUCCUAAAGUGGUUUUAAUGAAAAGGUAGUGCUCUUACUUUCACUCUAUGUAACUUUACUCCGUGAAUUAAGUUUUUGCUUUUUUCAAAAUUCUGUUCCUGUCAUUGAUCCCACUGAAGUCACAGAGAGUUUUACCAUUGACAUCAAUAGGGUAAUGCAUAUACAGUGUUUCAUACGUUUUUGAGAUGAGGGAAAAUACUAUUUCAUGCAAGCCUUUAUUAACCAUUUAAUUAAAAGUUCCCUGGUUACGGUUUAAUUUCUAAAUUGUGAUGUAUUUUAAAUGUAUAUACAGAUUAUGUGAAAUAUAUACAAUAAAAUAUUAUAAUUGA